rnacentral:rRNA from 1 species
AGCAGCCGCGGUAAUUCCGGCUCCUAUAGCGUAUAUUAAAGUUGUUGCAGUUAAAAAGCUCGUAGUUGAAUUUCGGGAUCGAUACGUCGGUCGUGCCUUCGGUACGUACUGUCGUCAUCGAUUUCUCCCUUCUGACGAACCAUGAUGUCAUUAAUUUGGUGUUAUGGGAAAUCAGGACUGUUACUUUGAAAAAAUUAGAGUGUUUAAAGCAAGCUAACGCUUGAAUACAUUAGCAUGGAAUAAUGAAAUAGGACGUUCGAUCCUAUUUUGUUGGUUUCUAGGAUUGACGUAAUGAUUAAU